AUUGAACGCUAGCGGGAUGCUUUACACAUGCAAGUCGAACGAGCGGCGGACGGGUGCGUACUGUAUGGGGACUGCCCGAUAGAGGGGGAUAACUACUGGAAACGGUAGCUAAUACCGCAUACUAUCGGAUAACCCAUAUGGGAUUAGCUAGUAGGUGAGGUAAUGGCUCACCUAGGCGACGAUCCCUAGCUGGACUGAGAGGAUGAUCAGCCACACUGGGACGGAGACACGGCCCAGACUCCUACGGAGGCAGCAGUGGGGAAGAUUGCACAAUGGGCGCAAGCCUGAUGCAGCCAUGCCGCGUGUAUGAAGAAGGCCCUAGGGUUGUAAAGUACUUUCAGUCGGGAGGCGUUACCGACAGAAGAAGAACCGGCUAACUCCGUGACAGCAGCCGCGGUAAUAC
rnacentral:rRNA from 1 species